rnacentral:rRNA from 1 species
UACGAAGGGGGCUAGCGUUGCUCGGAAUCACUGGGCGUAAAGCGCACGUAGGCGGAUUGCUAAGUCAGGGGUGAAAUCCUGGAGCUCAACUCCAGAACUGCCCUUGAUACUGAGGAGCUCGAGUCCGGAAGAGGUGAGUGGAACUGCGAGUGUAGAGGUGAAAUUCGUAGAUAUUCGCAAGAACACCAGUGGCGAAGGCGGCUCACUGGUCCGGUACUGACGCUGAGGUGCGAAAGCGUGGGGAGCAAACAGG